rnacentral:rRNA from 1 species
AGCAUGUGGUUUAAUUCGAAGCAACGCGAAGAACUUACCAGGUCUUGACAUCCCGAUGCUAUUUCUAGAGAUAGAAAGUUACUUCGGUACAUCGGUGACAGGUGGUGCAUGGUUGUCGUCAGCUCGUGUCGUGAGAUGUUGGGUUAAGUCCCGCAACGAGCGCAACCCCUAUUGUUAGUUGCCAUCAUUCAGUUGGGCACUCUAGCGAGACUGCCGGUAAUAAACCGGAGGAAGGUGGGGAUGACGUCAAAUCAUCAUGCCCCUUAUGACCUGGGCUACACACGUGCUACAAUGGGCGGUACAAAGGGUCGCCAACCCGCGAGGGGGAGCCAAUCCCAUAAAGCCAGUCGUAGUCCGGAUCGUAGUCUGCAACUCGACUACGUGAAGUCGGAAUCGCUAGUAAUCGCGCAUCAGCAUGGCGCGGUGAAUACGUUCCCGGGCCUU